rnacentral:tRNA from 1 species
CGGGGUGUAGUUCAGUUGGCUAGAAUGCUCGCAUGGGGUGCGAGUGGUCGCUGGUUCGAGUCCAGUCACCCCGA